AUGCUGAGAGUCUUUUUUAUAACUGUCCAAAUCGUUGUUAUUUUUUUAUUCGUACUUUAGUUUGUUUUCCCCGUUCCUCCCGCAAACGAUGCAAGAUGGACGGAGGGGCUCCAAUCAUACGUGCAGACAUUGCGGAGUUAUGAUUUAUCCACCGGUGCGGAGCAUAUAGAUACGGUCUGCGGAAUCUGCCGAUCAGCUUGUGAAUGUGACUGCUAUCGUCGCCUGAGACGUACGGGCACUAAAUAUCUACAUUUUCUCCUAUUCUUUUGGUAUUUCGCAACACUCACUAUUCGCUUGCUGCAACCGAUGAUCCUUCAAAGCCCUUGGUAGGUGUACGAUACCUCGAUCGAUUUACACUCUCAUCCGAGACUGCGGUGUCAGAUUAAUCGGAUUCCAACAUCUACCGAACCAAGCUUGCUGAAGAAAGAGACAAACCUUACCGUAACACAACGCUCUCCACACCGCAGUGCGAGCGGGGUGUGAAACCGGCAAACCGCAAAACCAACCGAAACCACAUCAGCCACACAACAUCAUCACAAAUUACAUGGCUCGUUCGAUGGGUUAAUGCCGUAGCCGCGCUGCUGCCGAGCAGGCACUGGCAUCGUUACAAAAAAGCAAUGAAGGAGAAAUUGGCCAACGUUUUGUCACCGUAGAAAAAACCAAAAACAACCAAUUUUACCGAGGAUUACCUGUGCCGUAAUGAGACUCACGAUAAGAUGCUAGCAGAAAGCUCCAUCGCACUAAAGCAAGAGGCAGAAAAAAUUAUUAAAAUGGUAAUCAUGCUGAACAGAGAAAACAAAAUCACUCCACGAAUGGAAUAAAUGAGCAGCAGUGGCAGCACCACCAGGAAUGGCCCGCUAGUUGUAAGGCUCCUCUACGAUCAGUUUAUUCGUUGGUAAGCAAAGUGAGAUAGCAGGAUUUCAAAGACGUACACGAGACGAACGACGAGCAGAACACGACGAGCAUGUUUUACACCGAAGGCUGCGAAGAAACUUUGCUCGGCAAGAACGAGUGCGAUCCGCGUCGUGUUUAUCUUGUUUUAUAACUCUAUACCUUCAUUUGUAUGUUGCUUGAGGUAUGUACAUAAUGUCGCGCUCGUGGCUCACGCCUUCUCGUCCUGUGGCACUACCAAAGCGCACGGGAUAAAAUAUGUAAAUUUUAUCUAAGUUUAAGCUGAUGUUCAGGCUCAUUUUAAAUUGUAACACAAUUAAACCGACAACAAACGAAAAAAAAAUCUCAAAUGCUUCUAUUUUCAAUUGUACAACCGGCUGUAUUAGUAUUCCAGAUAUUUUUUAAAGGUUUUGCUGAUUUUCAGAUUUGCUCUCAUCCGCAUUCAUCCCAUCCCUCUUUAUGCAUCAACAUUUCACACUGUCUCUUGUAAGAUACAUUACUGCGUUGAUGUCCAGUGCUUCUUGAUUUACCGGUUUGUGCGUUUUGCGUUCGUCUUCCUUCCCCACCAUGAUUGUGUCCAUGCGAACGUCAAUGACAAUCUGUCUUCUUCCAGCCUUUGCAAUACACCCCGCCAUGGCAUGCUCUACAAGAACCAUAUUCAUUACAAACUCCUUUUUGCAGUACAUUAUCACACACCCGAAUGGUCAAAACAAAACGGAUAGCCUGAACCGAUCGUCCUGCAGGCAGGUAUGGCGCGAUCGUUCCCGGGCACAGGUACCUUUACCAACUGCACCCUUCCUGCCGUACGCUCGAGGAAGUGAGAAGAAACAUAAGCUACUACGGUUCGCUCGCCACCCCAUGGUUAGCUGAUCCUUCCCGGCGUCAGUUCCUACUUUCCCUUGUACACCCUCCUCGGGUCAAAUCCGCAACGGUAGUCAAGCGUCUGUCUGCGAUCUUCUCGAAUACCAGAUUGCCCGGAUUGGCUUAAGCGACCACUUGAGAGUGGUCAGUUCGGAAAGGUUCGAAGGCUGGCUGGCGAUAAGUGGCGCCAGCGCGCCAGGGAUCAGCACCAACUUUGGCGACCAAUGUCUCCAGAGAGGCUUAAUUGCAAACCGUGCACACUUACAAGGUGGAGUUUCUGCAUCCGACUACCCCUUUCGAGGCUCGAGUUGCGACCCGAUACGAACCCGUGUCAAGCGGGGUUCUCAAACCCGACCUCGAUAAGAGAUACAUCCGAUCCGAUCUGAUGCGGAUUAUCUUACCACCAGCCUCUGAGUGUGGUUCGAGAUGCCAUCGGCGCUUCCGGUACCGAGCAUUAGAUUCAUGUUGGUACAUGUGCUACAGCCAACAGCAUCGCUGCGCUUCGAUUGCACUCACACUCGCUUGAAGGUAGACACCAAUAAG